GGGAAAAUAGCUCAGUGGUAGAGCAUCGAUUUCUUAACUCAAGGUCGUCGAUUCAAAGUCGGAUUAUUUCCG
rnacentral:tRNA from 1 species